GGCGUGCCUAACACAUGCAAGUCGAACGGAUUUGAGGGGCUUGCUCCUCAAGUUAGUGGCGCACGGGUGAGUAACGCGUAGAUAAUCUGCCUGAUGAUCCGGGAUAACACUUCGAAAGGGGUGCUAAUACCGGAUAAGCCCACGGGGUCUUUGGAUUCUGCGGGAAAAGGGGGGGACCUUCGGGCCUUCUGUCAUCAGAUGAGUCUGCGUACCAUUAGCUAGUUGGUAGGGUAAUGGCCUACCAAGGCUACGAUGGUUAGCUGGUUUGAGAGAAUGAUCAGCCACACUGGAACUGAGACACGGUCCAGACUCCUACGGGAGGCAGCAGUGGGGAAUUUUGCGCAAUGGGCGAAAGCCUGACGCAGCAACGCCGCGUGAGUGAUGAAGGCUUUCGGGUCGUAAAGCUCUGUCGAGGGGAAAGAAGUGUAUUGUGGCUAAUAUCCGCGAUACUUGACGGUACCCCUAAAGGAAGCACCGGCUAACUCCGUGCCAGCAGCCGCGGUAAUAC
rnacentral:rRNA from 1 species